rnacentral:lncRNA from 1 species
GGCUUAAGAUUGGUGAAUCUUGUUCAACACAAUGGAUUAUUAUGUUGAAGCUAGUGCCUAUAUAUCUAUUGCUAUCAAUCUGAUAUGAAAAUUCAGUCAGAAAUAUAAGCGAAGUGCAGUCAUAAUUUACACCGAAUCACGUUUGGUUUUGAAGGUAUCAUCCAUCUUUGCAAAUUUCGGGCAUCAAAGUUCCUCAGUAUAGUUCGGGUUUCAUAUUUUAGGGACCGAAUCAAAAAAAAUAAAAAUGAAAUUACAACACCAAACUUCCAGUAGUGACCGAAUGCCCACCCCUAGAAAUGACAUUAUUGCUCAUUCCCCUCCCAACCUCUCUUAAUUGAUCAGACUGUCCUUAGUCAGGAUUCUAUCCUUUAGCAUCAAUCACAGGAAUAUCUUGAUCUUGAGUGGAGGCUUUAACUUCCACAUGUGUAGUCCACCAGAUGUGAUGAUCUGAGCUGAAGGUAGAGAGAUCUGAUCGAGAAUUCCCCACUCUGACAGAGGUACCACUUAACAAAGUUUGCACAUGGAUGGUUGGCAAAUGACUUACCAAACGGCAUAUAUAUACCAC